CUACGUGCCAGCAGCCGCGGUAAUACGGAAGGUCCGGGCGUUAUCCGGAUUUAUUGGGUUUAAAGGGAGCGUAGGCUGGAGAUUAAGUGUGUUGUGAAAUGUAGACGCUCAACGUCUGACUUGCAGCGCAUACUGGUUUCCUUGAGUACGCACAACGUUGGCGGAAUUCGUCGUGUAGCGGUGAAAUGCUUAGAUAUGACGAAGAACUCCGAUUGCGAAGGCAGCUGACGGGAGCGCAACUGACGCUUAAGCUCGAAGGUGCGGGUAUCGAACAGGAUUAGAUACCCUGGUAGUCCGCACAGUAAACGAUGGAUGCCCGCUGUUGGUACCUGGUAUCAGCGGCUAAGCGAAAGCAUUAAGCAUCCCACCUGGGGAGUACGCCGGCAACGGUGAAACUCAAAGGAAUUGACGGGGGCCCGCACAAGCGGAGGAACAUGUGGUUUAAUUCGAUGAUACGC
rnacentral:rRNA from 1 species